rnacentral:rRNA from 1 species
AGUGCCUUACACAUGCAAGUCGAACGGCAGCACGGACUUCGGUCUGGUGGCGGAGUGGGCGAACGGGUGAGUAAUGCAUCGGAACGUGCCAUUGAGUGGGGGAUAACGUAGCGAAAGUUGCGCUAAUACCGCAUAUUCUGUGAGCAGGAAAGCAGGGGACCGCAAGGCCUUGCGCUCUUUGAGCGGCCGAUGUCAGAUUAGCUAGUUGGUGAGGUAAAGGCUUACCAAGGCGACGAUCUGUAGCGGGUCUGAGAGGAUGAUCCGCCACACUGGAACUGAGACACGAUCCAGACUCCUACGGGAGGCAGCAGUGGGGAAUUUUGGACAAUGGGGGCAACCCUGAUCUAGCCAUGCCGCGUGAGUGAAGAAGGCCUUCGGGUUGUAAAGCUCUUUCGGCCGGGAAGAAAUCGCAUGGGCCAAUACCCUGUGUGGAUGACGGUACCGGAAUAAGAAGCACCGGCUAACUACGUG